GACGGGGGGGCAAGUGUUCUUCGGAAUGACUGGGCGUAAAGGGCACGUAGGCGGUGAAUCGGGUUGAAAGUGGAAGUCGCCAAAAAAGUGGCGGAAUGCUCUCGAAACCAAUUCACUUGAGUGAGACAGAGGAGAGUGGAAUUUCGUGUGUAGGGGUGAAAUCCGUAGAUCUACGAAGGAACGCCAAAAGCGAAGGCAGCUCUCUGGGUCCCUACCGGAGCUGGGGUGCGAAAGCAUGGGGAGCGAACAGG
rnacentral:rRNA from 1 species